rnacentral:rRNA from 1 species
AAGACCUUGCACUUUUGGAGCGGCCGAUGUCUGAUUAGCUAGUUGGUGGGGUAAUGGCCUACCAAAGCUUCGAUCAGUAGCUGGUCUGAGAGGACGGCCAGCCACACUGGGACUGAGACACGGCCCAGACUCCCACGGGAGGCAGCAGUGGGGAAUUUUGGACAAUGGGCGCAAGCCUGAUCCAGCCAUGCCGCGUGAGUGAAGAAGGCCUUCGGGUUGUAAAGCUCUUUCAGCCGGAACGAAACGGUUACGGUUAAUACCCGUGACUACUGACGGUACCGGAAGAAGAAGCACCGGCUAACUACGUGCCAGCAGCCGCGGUAAUACGUAGGGUGCGAGCGUUAAUCGGAAUUACUGGGCGUAAAGCGUGCGCAGGUGGUUUUGUAAGUCAGAUGUGAAAGCCCCGGGCUCAACCUGGGAACU